GUCACUAUACUUUAUUGUUAGAAGAUUUGGUUUGCAACUAAAUAGAGGGAUAAUUUCCCUAGUGCCAA
rnacentral:tRNA from 1 species